UACAGAGGGUGCGAGCGUUAAUCGGAAUUACUGGGCGUAAAGCGUGCGUAGACGGCUAUCUAAGUCGGGUGUGAAAGCCCCGGGCUCAACCUGGGAAUUGCAUUCGAGACUGAAUAGCUAGGGUACGGUAGAGGGAAGCGGAAUUUCCGGUGUAGCGGUGAAAAUGCGUAGAUAUCGGAAGGAACAUCAGUGGCGAAAGCGGCUUCCUGGACCAGUACCGACGUUCAGGCACGAAGCGUGGGAGCAAACAGGA
rnacentral:rRNA from 1 species